rnacentral:lncRNA from 1 species
UGGAAUAAAAUUAUCACGAAAUACCUGUAUGACUAAAAUUCGAUGAAUGGAAUUAUUCAGAUCAAUCUUAACAACAGACAAAAUGGGUAAGAAGUACCUGAAGUAAAGUACAUGAUCAUGUGCACGACAAACAAUAAAGUCAGACAUUGCAUCAUUAACUCUCAGUUUUCCAACAGAUUUGCCUAUUGUUCCACGAUUCUGAAGAUUAAAGGUAUUAGGCUUCAUCCUCUUAACAUAACCUUUUUCACUAAUCGCCUGCAAAUUAGACAGAUUUCUUUCAGAACUAAGACCAGACCUUUGGUGUCCCAUGAUCUGACACUUGAAUAUGAUGUCAGCAAAUAGACAGAAAACAAAAUCAAUGAAGAUGUUGAUGAAUUAUGUUACAUACAAGUAGCAUCUCAUCAUUUGGAAUGAUAUCUAUAUCAUCGAGUUGACCACUAUCAGCGUCUUCUAACAUAGAAAGCCUUGGAGUUGAAAACCUGUUCUUUAGCUCAAUCGCUUCUUGUUCUAUUAACUACAUAGAAAAAAGGAAGAGAGUGGAUCAGCAAGAAAAUCAAAAGAUAUAGAAAAAAGGAAGAGAGUAGAUCAGCAAGAAAAUCAAAAAAUUAAUUAGGUAAAAUUAAAUAAUAGCAGAAGAAUGAGCUAAGAAAUUUGGAAACCCAAUUUUAGAAAGAACAAGAAAGGCACAUUUCAUAUUAACAAUAAAAUUUUAUGAAGUAAAAGAAAGCCAUAAGAAGAAUGAUCUCCCUAUCUCCCUCUAGUAUGGGCUGAAGUACUUUAAUAUUUCCUCCUCCAAUAAUAACAACUUUUCAGGCAUUGCUUAAUCAAUCCUAUCCUUGCGGUUUCUUCAUAUAGCUGAACCCUAGUAGGUUCAAAUUUUUCAGAAUCCUCCCCCAAGAUACUUUCCCAGAAAAAUGAAAUUAAACACCCUUGGGAAUUCAUAGAAUUUAUUAUUGAUCUCCUUCAAGGUAAAGCUUAUGUCUAUUCUCCAAACCAGAGAGGCCUGUCUGUAAUUAGAUGAAGCUAAGCUAGUGAAAUUUACUCUAGAAAAAGGCAAUACAAGACAUUGCAAUGCCUGGAAUUGAAACCUAAAAUCUUGUUGUUUACUAAGGACUGAUGAGCAUAAGGCCGAAACAAAUCAUACCAAAAGAGUAGUACAGGUUAUUCGAAAUUUAUGUUUUUGUCUUUUAGAUCCCUUAUUACAAGGGGACUCUAUACAUACACAUAUAGAGAUUUGCCUUUUGACCUAUUCAGCCUUUGGUUAAAUUCAGACUUAUUUAUAUCUUAGAUAAAAGAUCAAAAGUAAUACAAAAUAAAAAAUCUUCUUUAUAUAACUGAUAGUGGAAUAAAAUUAUCACGAAAUACCUGUAUGACUAAAAUUCGAUGAAUGGAAUUAUUCAGAUCAAUCUUAACAACAGACAAAAUGGGUAAGAAGUACCUGAAGUAAAGUACAUGAUCAUGUGCACGACAAACAAUAAAGUCAGACAUUGCAUCAUUAACUCUCAGUUUUCCAACAGAUUUGCCUAUUGUUCCACGAUUCUGAAGAUUAAAGGUAUUAGGCUUCAUCCUCUUAACAUAACCUUUUUCACUAAUCGCCUGCAAAUUAGACAGAUUUCUUUCAGAACUAAGACCAGACCUUUGGUGUCCCAUGAUCUGACACUUGAAUAUGAUGUCAGCAAAUAGACAGAAAACAAAAUCAAUGAAGAUGUUGAUG